CAGUAUGUUUGUAUUAUUGAGUGGUUUGAGCUGAACUACAAAUCAGGUAUUAUUCAGUCACUGUGAGACAACAAAGAGAUCUUGUCUAGCUUUGAUUUGAGAGACAACAGAUCCAGACUAACCGGAUACCAGCUGCAGUCGAGCGUAAACACUAAUUCAUGUUAACCCAACAGGAAAUUCAGCUUUUAGAAGAUGAGCAACACAAGCUUCUGCCAACCACAGUGCAGCAGCUGUUCUGCUUUUAUAUCUACAGCAACAAGAGCGGGCACCUCACGCUGCCGGCUGACCUGCGCUGUUCAAGGCUACUAAGGAGGAGCCUUCAUAGGACAGUCCUACCGAGGACCUGCACCACCUCAGCUACAGCCAAGGCUCUGGAACGCAGCUCUUGAGUAAGAAGUUCAUGUGACUGGAUGUGGCCUGCUCAUCAAAAUUCACGCUGCUGUCCACGAUGUCGAAAACAGUGAUGGUGUCUCCAAAUCUCCAGAACACAGUGCCUUUAACCAGCAGGGCCUCAUGACUGUUUGAACACGAGCUGCUCCUGGCUGCCCAUUUUGGGUGAUGGACCACUCUCAUCCUAGGAAUGUUCUACGGCUGGUCCAGCACCACAGAACCAGCCCACCUGAUUCACCCAAACAGUGUCAUAUUUGAGUUAAAACACAUUUAACACACUCGUGUCCAGAACUGUGCAGCAGCAGAUGCGCUACAGUCUAUAACUGUAACGUUAGUGGACCUCAAAGGGUGGACGGAGCUCAUGAAGUGGACAGAGAGGGAAAUACAAAAUAAAAGUCUCUAAUAAGGUGGACGGUCGGUGUAUGGAAAUUAUAGAGCAGCAGGACGGAGAGCGCCUUUGCUCGAGAACCGUCGCCUAAAGAUUGUACUGAGUAUUCAUGUCUCCAGGGCUGAACUCAAGUGGACAGACAGACAGAUGCCAGUGUCCUUGUUGGUCCUAACCACUGAUACCCGUUCCUAGACGCCUUAUUGUCCACUGAUCUCUAUCUGAGGGGAUACGUCUGCGCGUCCGCCAUGUUGGAGUGGUCAAGAACUGAUGUGAACAGAUUCAUUUGUAUUGAGAGACGAAGAGUCUUGGGAUUGAAUCAGCCACAACUUCCUUUAAUCUCACACACUUUAGCAAAUAUAUAUAUAUAUAUAUAUAUAUAUAUAUUUUGUGUGUGUGUGUGUGUGUGUGUGUGUGUGUGUGAAUCACUCCUAAUCUGAAUAUACAUAAAAUAAUCCCCCAAAACACUAAGAAGGAUGAAGCUGAAGUUGGCUUCCUAUUCGCCAGGUUCGAUUUAGUUUUUAGCUCUUACUUAAAGUGAGUUUUAUAAGAAUUACUUUUAGUACAGUUCUGUUAAAUGUUAUUUGAGUUAGCACCCUGGGCCUGGCCUGAGAGAGGUUUUCCAGUGGAGGUCUUCAAUCAGCAAAAUAAACAGGAUGGAAUUAACAUUCCUCCUAGCCGUACCACUUCCGAUCUGCUAAAUUAUAACUACCACGUUGAUAAGAUUUCGGGGUGGAUGACGCCAUCAUCUACCUUCUGCAUGGAGCUCUUUCUCACUUGGAGAAGCCUGGGGGCACUGUGAGAAUCAUGUUCUUUGAUUUCUCCAGUGCUUUCAACACCAUACAGCCUGGGCUCCUGAAGGACA